rnacentral:rRNA from 1 species
AUUGAACGCUGGCGGCAGGCCUAACACAUGCAAGUCGAACGGUAACAGGAAGCAGCUUGCUGCUUUGCUGACGAGUGGCGGACGGGUGAGUAAUGUCUGGGAAACUGCCCGAUGGAGGGGGAUAACUACUGGAAACGGUAGCUAAUACCGCAUAACGUCGCAAGACCAAAGAGGGGGACCUUAGGGCCUCUUGCCAUCGGAUGUGCCCAGAUGGGAUUAGCUAGUAGGUGGGGUAACGGCUCACCUAGGCGACGAUCCCUAGCUGGUCUGAGAGGAUGACCAGCCACACUGGAACUGAGACACGGUCCAGACUCCUACGGGAGGCAGCAGUGGGGAAUAUUGCACAAUGGGCGCAAGCCUGAUGCAGCCAUGCCGCGUGUAUGAAGAAGGCCUUCGGGUUGUAAAGUACUUUCAGCGGGGAGGAAGGGAGUAAAGUUAAUACCUUUGCUCAUUGACGUUACCCGCAGAAGAGGCACCGGCUAACUCCGUG